rnacentral:lncRNA from 1 species
UCAAAUGAUACAAGUCUAAAAAUAUACCCCAUGAUACAAAACUUAAACCUUAUACAAAUUAUUACAUAUAUAAAUAUAACUUGGUGACACCACUGCAAUCAACAAAAAUGAGACUUCUAAAAUAAAAAAAUGCACCAGAAUAAACCAUACUAUAAUAAAUACAAUUAAAUUAAUAAUAUACAAAUAGCAGGAUUAAAAAAACCAACAAGAAGUAUUCACAAAUGACAAAACCAGCUACUUAUAACAUGUAUUUGUUUCGGGUACAUAUAUGUUGUCUCGCAAGUUGUGUUACAACACGUGCCAUCAACUGUGAUUGGUCAGAAAAAUAAUUAAUUAUUAUUUUUUUAACUUAAAUAUAUUUUUUCAACCAAUGAUAAACUAGUGGUACAUGAAGUGCACAACUUGUGCGAUAGUGCUCCCAUUUGUUCCACACCAAAUAAGCCUGUUGUCUGUACUUCCUUGGGGGCAAAGAUACCAUGUCUAAACUGAGACAAAAAAAUGACAAACAGUUAAGCACUCCAAAACAUCUUAUAUAUUUUAUAAUUAAUAUUAGGGAUUGUAAAAUGUUUGUAAUAUAAAUGUUUUUUUUAUCAACCAAAGUGGAUUAGAGCAAAUUUAUCUAGUAGGUAUAGUCCACGACAAAGGAAGUCAUGGUUCCUACCCACGAUAUUGGUGAACCAAGGUGAUCCCAUAGACAUGGUCCACGAGUUAUGGAGAGAGAAAUUCUAUAAAAAAGAUAACUUAUGAAUAUCAUUCACAAGUCCUGCAAGGAAAUUAAUUAACAAAUAACUCGUACCUAACAUGCACGAGUUCAACAAAAAAAAUAUUAUACUAAUUUUCCUAAAAUUGUUAUAAAAAAAUCAAAAUACACCCUAAAUUUUCCUAAAUAAAGGUGGAAAUAUAAGAUGUCUGGCCUAUUUAACAUAUUACAACUCAUGUAUACAUCUAACCUCUUUAAAAGUGUGUGACUUGUUAGUAGUAUAAAACCUUGACAUUUAAAUAUGUAAAUAGACCUUUAAAUAAGUUAAUAAGUUUGUUUUUAAAUAGAGUAACAAGUUUGUUUUACAAAUCUAUCCUCCAAACUCUCAAUACUAAAUUGGCUAUAUGAUUUACAUAUUUUUUAUUUAGUUUAUUUAUAUAUUAUAUAAAUUAAUUAAUAUACAUAUAUAAUAAAAUUAUAUAGGUUAGUCUAUUACAUGUUUCUACCCUUAUCUAUAAAAAUGGUGUCCCUUUAGUGUCUAAUACAUAAAACAUUACUCUUUUUCUUAUUGCCUUAAAUAUAAACACUUAGGCCUUGUUUCCUAAUAUAUAUAUAUAUAUAUAUAUUCAACAGUUUAAGCUGUAAACUUCCAAAUUUAAUCAAGUUGAAACAUUUUUUUCUGUCUUUUAAUAAUCUGGUUGAGGGCUUAUGAAUUAAUUGAUUAUAAUUUCCAUUUCAUUUAAAGUUUGCAGAAGACAAAGUGUAUCCUUUAUUAUUGGUUUACCUGCUUAAUAAGGAGUAUAGUCUGAAUAUAGGGGUCCCUACAAUAAACAAACUUGACAUAUGAUAGCCAUUUUAAAGGCAAAGAAACAAAAUAUAACCAAUCAAACCAUAACCAUAGAAAAGCUUCACAUACCUUGAAUGGUAUUUAAUUUUGCUGCAUUAUUUCAUGUAUCAUAUCUAUUAUACCUGUGCAUCUUUGUGAUGGUGACAGAAGAAGAGAGAGCACACUCUCAACAAAACCAAAUUCUCUUUGGUUAUUCCUGGAUUGUGCUCUCUCUCUUCUGUCAACAACAUGAGAUUUAUAUUCAUAUCUCAUCAUCACAUGCAUUCAUUCAUCUGCACUUUCUCUUCAUUAUAAACAAAAAUGGUAUCAGAUAUUAUUAUAUUGCACCAUACAUGUAUGAUUUAUAGAGAGAAAGAUAGAUAUAUAGAGGUGUGUAAGCUUAUGAUAAACGGUAGUGUUGUUAUUUCAACCAUCUAACAAAUCAAAUUAUAUAUAUAUAUUUCUAUAAAAACUCAUCUAAAAAUAAUAAAAAACAAUUUAAAUAUUUGACAUAAGCAAAAUAGUGUGAAACAAUUUAAACUCAUAAAUCAGUGUUUGACUUUGUAAUAUAAAAAAUAUAACUUGGCCACUACAUAGGAAUAUUUUGAAUUACACACUCAGAUAAGUAUUUGACAUAAGCAAAAUAGUGUGAAUCAUAGAAAUUUUUUACUGUCUUUUAAUAAUGCUUUAAUUAAGUAUCAAAUGAUUAAUAAUAUUAUCAAAGGAUAAGUGGCUCUGUGUAAGGUUCAAAACAAGAAAACCUUGUACUUUAUAUCUCAUAACUCUACCAACUAAACAAUUAAACUUAUUCUUGAAACCUCUUAGGAUUACUUGAUCUUAAAAUUCACCCUCAAAGCUUGCAUUUUAAACAACCAUCUAUUUCUUCACAAUAGAUCCCAGAUCUUGUUUGUAAAAAUAUUAAAUACAUAUAUACCUAAUAUUUAUACACGCACCCACUGACAUAUAUAACAUUAGGAAUUAUGUUUAUAGAUUAUAUGUAUAAGUACAUUUAUAUGUCAAGGGUACGGAUACAAUCUUCAAUAAUGAUUAUAAACAUCUCAGAUCUAAUACAAAUGUGUAAAAAUAAAAAGAAUAAUAUGAUAUGUACAUAGAUUAAUGCAUGCAUGAUGGGUUAUUAUUGAAACAAGAAUUAAUGUUGAAGCAUGAAUUCAUCACCUGAUGCAUAUAUAUAUUCAUGUCUCUCCACCCAAAAUCAGCAACACUGAUUAUAUAUUUGUUGAACUUUCUAGACAUCAUGCAUGAGAUGAUAGGUUCAGGGCAAUAAGAUCCAACACAAAGGAAACAAUGGGAAUAGAUGGCAACAAAAAAAUUCUAAAGAAGGAGAUUUAUAAUGGAAAUGGAAAAAGAUAUGAAGUAUUUUUUUUUUUAUAUUAUUAUUAUUAUUUUUGGGUGGAAAAAGAAGAUGAAGGUUUGAGAGGAAAGGUAGAAAAACGUAUGAAACAAAA